AAAUAAAUUUUUUAUGGUUUUAAAAUUUUAUUUUAAGUUUAUUUUACAUAUAAAUUUUAGUGUUAAAUUUAAAUUAUUUAAAUAAUAAUUUAUUUUAUAAUAAUAGUAAUUAAUAUUAAAUUAUUUAAGGAAUUAAGAUUUAGUAAUAUUUUAAUUAAUAACAAAUUUUGUGCCAGCAGUUGCGGUUAUACAAAAAUUAAAUUAAAUUUUAUUAGUAAUUAAUAAAUAAUUUAAAAAAAUAAUAAAAAUUUUAAAUUAUUGGGUGAAAUUUUAAUUUAUUAAAAUUUUAUAUUUAAAUUGUGAUUUAAUAAAUUUUAUAAAAAACUAGGAUUAGAUACCCUAUUAUUAAAAUUUAAAUUUAAAAUACUAAAAUAGUAAAUAAUUAUUUAUUGAAACUUAAAUAAUUUGGCGGUAUUUUAGUUCAUUUAGAGGAAUCUGUUUAAUUAUUGAUAAUCCACGAAUAAAUUUACUUAAUUUAUUAUUUUGUAUAUCGUUGUUAAAUAAAUAUUUUUUAAUAAAAUUAAUAUUUAAAAAUUAUUAUAAUAAUUUAAAUCAGAUCAAGAUGCAGAUUAUAAUUAAGAAUAUAAUGGAUUACAAUAAAUUUAUUUAUAUGAAUAUUAAUUUGUAAUAAUUAAUUGAAAUUGGAUUUAAAUGUAAUUUUAUUUAAUUUGGUAAAAUGAUUAUAUAUUAAAAUAUGUACAUAUUGCCCGUCGCUUUCAUAUAAUAAUAAGUUGAAAUAAGUCGUAACAAAGUAGAGGUACUGGAAAGUGUUUCUAGAAAGAA
rnacentral:ncRNA from 1 species